rnacentral:rRNA from 1 species
AGUGAACGCUGGCGGUAGGCCUAACACAUGCAAGUCGAACGGCAGCACAGUAAGAGCUUGCUCUUACGGGUGGCGAGUGGCGGACGGGUGAGGAAUACAUCGGAAUCUACUUUUUCGUGGGGGAUAACGUAGGGAAACUUACGCUAAUACCGCAUACGACCUACGGGUGAAAGCAGGGGAUCUUCGGACCUCGCGCGAUUGAAUGAGCCGAUGUCGGAUUAGCUAGUUGGCGGGGUAAAGGCCCACCAAGGCGACGAUCCGUAGCUGGUCUGAGAGGAUGAUCAGCCACACGGGAACUGAGACACGGUCCAGACUCCUACGGGAGGCAGCAGUGGGGAAUAUUGGACAAUGGGCGCAAGCCUGAUCCAGCCAUACCGCGUGGGUGAAGAAGGCCUUCGGGUUGUAAAGCCCUUUUGUUGGGAAAGAAAAGCAGCAGGUUAAUACCCCGCUGUUCUGACGGUACCCAAAGAAUAAGCACCGGCUAACUUCGUG